UUGCUUUGCUAUAAACAAAUCUGAAAUUCCUUGGCACAUCAGUGCAUUUCAUCAUGAUUCUUUCUCCUUCUGUUAAUGGAUGCGAAUUAAUAAGGAAUGCUGAUUACUGCUAAGAUCUAUUUUCAAUGCUUACAUCUUCUAAAAUGGACUAGUUAAUACUGCAAAUGCAGAAGAUCAAGCCAGCUCAGUAUGUCUGUUCUGAAGAAAACCAAUCCAGAGUCCAGUCAUGCUUAUAUGGAGCUGCACCCAAACCAAUAAGCCUGGCUGAGAAACUUCCGUAAGUGACAACAAAAAGGAGUUUCGAAGCACUUCAUAAAUAGUUGUGUCAUCUGACUACCUGCAGCAUACCUCUCGAAGACUGGCGGUUUCAGUGCAACAUUUCAGACAAUGUAACGUGGCGUAGCCUGGGCCAUAUCCCGGUGAGAUCCUCUUUCCAGACAGAUCAGUCGCCGAGUUUAACCGCAUCUUGGCUUCACCAUGCUUUGCUUGCUAUUAGAGGCUGCAUUCUGUAUAAGAAGAGUUACAGUGUUUUGGCCUCCUCUGAAAGAGCUGCUCCUUUUUAUCUGUGGUCAUGCGUAUGAUCUCAUUUGCUGGAAGAACAAGACAUCAAUUGCAAAACUAGGUCUACCUUGGAAAACUGGGCCAUCUGUUAUUUAUUUUUAUUUAUUGACUGGGUAAUCUGGGUCUGAAUAGCAACCAUCUCUUUGCCAUAAAACCUGCUAGGCCCACAGCACACCUAAGUGGAUUUUUAUGACGCACAAAAAUACCUGUGCACUCUGCACACACUGCAGAAAGGGUCAGAUCACAGUGCAUGCGCUUCGGCAACACGUGAACUUCCCUAAGCCCCGUUUAGUUAGAUCUGCGUCAGCCCUAGGCCAUACAGCUUGCACAGACAGUCUGCAGUUGUUACCCCAGCUUUCACACUACAGCCUCCUGCUCCCCAUACAGAUGCUUUUUCUAGGUAGCGGAGUGAUUUAACCUACCAGCCUCUGCACCAAACUUAAAUACUUACAGAUGACUGAGUCAGAUCACUCACAACACAGAUGCCCAACUUGGCCUUGUCUCUGUGCUCAGAUAUGUGUGAUCUCAUCCCGCAUAUUCAACAGAUGGACUGAAGAAAAUUUGGAGGAUAAUAAUAUCAUGCUAGUGCAUAACAUAAUGUAUUCACAAAGCCAGGCUCACUAACUAAAGAUUUGGGUUCAAUUAAAGCCUAUCAACAAAGAAAGCUGCUCUCAGAGGGCUAGGUGUGAGCAGCACUUGCAGUUUGUCAUGUCACACUGUUUAAGUAAUAAAGGUUCAUUUGUCAUUUAAUUUUCCCUUUACUAGUUCAUACAGGCAGACACUUGUUUAUUUCUCUCUGGAAGUCUUUUCUUAGUGAGAGAUAAGUUACUUGGGGAGAGGAAAGGUUACAUAUUCAAACACGGUGUCAAGAUUGUUGCUGGACUGAUGAGUCUCAGCUGUGUGCAGGAAAGAGAUGGUCAGAGACGUGUACUUGUAUUUGAAAUUAAACUUACCACGAAGUUGCAGUAGGGAUAAACUAACUUCACAGGUAGCUGGUUACUCCAGCAGAACUUUUUAUCUGUCCUUUUGUACUAUACUACAAGGCAGCACCAGAAACAGUCUCUUAAUAAAUAAUGUUAAGUACAAAGUUGGCCAGCAGACUUGCCCCAGAGUGAA